rnacentral:rRNA from 1 species
CCCUUAGACGUUCUGGGCCGCACGCGCGCUACACUGACCAGUGCAACAAGCAUCCGUCCUUGGCCGACAGGCCCGGGCAAUCUUUGAACGCUGGUCGUGAUGGGGAUAGACUUUUGCAAUUUUUGGUCUUCAACGAGGAAUUCCUAGUAAACGCAAGUCAUCAACUUGCAUUGAUUACGUCCCUGCCCUUUGUACACACCGCCCGUCGCACCUACCGAUUGAAUGGUCCGGUGAAGCCUCCGGAUUGGCGCGCACCUCGGUGCCGCCGAGAAGUUGGCUAAACCUUACCAUUUAGAGGAUGGUGAAGUCGUAACA